rnacentral:rRNA from 1 species
CUUGGAAGCAGCCAUUCAUUUAAAGAGUGCGUAACAGCUCACUAGUCGAGCGGUCGAGCAUGGAUAAUAAUCGGGCAUAAGUAUACCACCGAAGCUAUGGAUUUACAGAUUACUGUAAGUGGUAGGGGGGCAUUCUAUGGGCGUUGAAGGCAAAUCGCGAGAUUUCCUGGAGCGCAUAGAAAAGAAAAUGUAGGCAUAAGUAACGAUAAUGCGGGCGAGAAACCCGCACACCGAAAGACUAAGGUUUCCUCAGCUAUGCUAAUCAGCUGAGGGUUAGUCGGGACCUAACGCGAACCCGAAAGGGGUAGUGGAUGGACAACAGGUUAAUAUUCCUGUACCUGCUCUCACUAAAAGUGACGGAUUGCCCAGAUAUCUACGUGGUGACGGAAGUCCACGUUGAGCAUAGCCUUCGGGCGAAGCGAUGAUAAGUAAGCAGUUCCAAGAAAAGCGAGAGAAGCAGCCCGUACCGUAAACCGACACAGGUAGUUGGGAUGAGUAUUCUAAGGUGCUCGAGAGAUUCAUGGCUAAGGAACUAGGCAAAAUCGACCCGUAACUUCGGGAGAAGGGUCGCCACGUUUCGACGUGGCCGCAGUGAAAAGAUCCAGGCGACUGUUUAUCAAAAACACAGGACUCUGCUAAAUCGAAAGAUGACGUAUAGGGUCUGACACCUGCCCGGUGCCGGAAGGUUAAGUGGAGAUGUUAGCUUUUAGCGAAGCAUUCAAAUGAAGCCCCGGUAAACGGCGGCCGUAACUAUAACGGUCCUAAGGUAGCGAAAUUCCUUGUCGGGUAAGUUCCGACCUGCACGAAUGGUGUAACGAUUUGGGCACUGUCUCAACCAUGAGCUCGGUGAAAUUGUAGUAUCGGUGAAGAUGCCGAUUACCCGCAACGGGACGAAAAGACCCCGUGAACCUUUACUAUAGCUUAGUAUUGGCUUUGGAUAAGUAAUGUGUAGGAUAGGUGGGAGACUUUGAAGUGGCGUCGCUAGGCGUUGUGGAGUCAUUGUUGAAAUACCACCCUUUGCUUAUCUAGAGUCUAACUUUCACUGAAAGGACAGUGCUUGGUGGGUAGUUUGACUGGGGUGGUCGCCUCCAAAAGAGUAACGGAGGCUUCUAAAGGUUCCCUCAGCACGCUUGGUAACCGUGCGUAGAGUGCAAUGGCAUAAGGGAGCUUGACUGAGAGACAGACAAGUCGAUCAGGUACGAAAGUAGAGCAUAGUGAUCCGGUGGUUCCGCAUGGAAGGGCCAUCGC